UACGAAGGGUGCAAGCGUUACUCGGAAUUACUGGGCGUAAAGCGCACGUAGGCGGAUUUGUAAGUCAGGGGUGAAAUCCCGAGGCUCAACCUCGGAACUGCCUUUGAUACUGCAAAUCUCGAGUCCGGAAGAGGUGAGUGGAAUUCCUAGUGUAGAGGUGAAAUUCGUAGAUAUUAGGAAGAACACCAGUGGCGAAGGCGGCUCACUGGUCCGGUACUGACGCUGAGGUGCGAAAGCGUGGGGAGCAAACAGG
rnacentral:rRNA from 1 species